GCUAUAGAUUGAAUCUCCCUCCUCCCAUCUUUCUCUCCCUGCCCGAGCUCGAGGUGCUUUCUUCUUGCUUGUUCUUCCAUUGUUCUUGCUUGUUAGUGCUCUCAUCUCCCACGAUUGAUCUAUUUCAACGCUUCUACGCCGUCGUCGAUUUGUUUGAAAGGUUGCUAGCUUCAUCCUCCUAUGUUUCUCACCGCCAUAUGUAAUUUCAUAUUGGACAUAUGUCUAUUUUGAUUAAUUCAUGUUGCCAUCUGAGCAAUCAUCGUCUUCUCAUGUUUGAAUUUUUUUGAACGAUGGUAAGUGUGUGCCCGCUAAAAACUAGUAUACACAAAUCAUUACUACUAUGUAUACACGAAUCAUGUUAAGUUCUAUUAUAGAUAUUAU
rnacentral:lncRNA from 1 species